rnacentral:rRNA from 1 species
CAGUCGCCACGGUAAUACGGAGGGGGCUAGCGUUGUUCGGAAUUACUGGGCGUAAAGCGCACGUGGGCGGCUUGGUAAGUUAGAGGUGAAAGCCUGGAGCUCAACUCCAGAAUUGCCUUUAAGACUGCCGAGCUAGCAGGUGAGAGAGGUAAGUGGAAUUCCGAGUGUAGAGGUGAAAUUCGUAGAUAUUCGGAAGAACACCAGUGGCGAAGGCGGCUUACUGGCUCAUACUGGACGCUGAGGUGCGAAAGCGUGGGGAGCAAACAGAAUUAGAGACCCCCGUAGUCCCUGUCUCUUAUAU